GCUGCGGUGGCCGAGUGGUCUAAGGCGGUAGAUUUAAGCAAUUGCUUUCCGACUGGUUCUUUAUCGGUUGGGGCAGACAUCAUGGCUAUGAAACUCUACUGGGGAGACCCGCGCGCGUUCGAACCGCGUCCGCAGCA